GACGAACGCUGGCGGCGUGCUUAACACAUGCAAGUCGAACGGAAAGGCCCUGCGUUUGUGGGGUGCUCGAGUGGCGAACGGGUGAGUAACACGUGAGUAACCUGCCCUUGACUUUGUGAUAACUUCAGGAAACUGGGGCUAAUACCGGAUAGGAGCUCCUGCUGCAUGGUGGGGGUUGGAAAGUUUCGGCGGUUGGGGAUGGACUCGCGGCUUAUCAGCUGGUUGGUGGGGUAGUGGCUUACCAAGGCUUUGACGGGUAGCCGGCCUGAGAGGGUGACCGGCCACAUUGGGACUGAGAUACGGACCAGACUCCUACGGGAGGCAGCAGUGGGGAAUAUUGCACAAUGGGCGGAAGCCUGAUGCAGCAACGCCGCGUGCGGGAUGACGGGUUUCGGGGUGUAAACCGCUUUCGACUGUGACGAAGCGUGAGUGACGGUAAUGGGUAAGGAAGCCCCGGCUAACUACGUG
rnacentral:rRNA from 1 species